rnacentral:rRNA from 1 species
UACGUAGGGGGCAAGCGUUGUUCGGAAUUACUGGGCGUAAAGGGCGCGUAGGCGGCCUGUUAAGUCAGACGUGAAAUCCCCGGGCUCAACCCGGGAACUGCGUCUGAUACUGGCAGGCUUGAAUCCGGGAGAGGGAUGCGGAAUUCCAGGUGUAGCGGUGAAAUGCGUAGAUAUCUGGAGGAACACCGGUGGCGAAGGCGGCAUCCUGGACCGGCAUUGACGCUGAGGCGCGAAAGCCAGGGGAGCAAACGGG